rnacentral:rRNA from 1 species
AGGUCAAGUAGAGAAGGGCGCACGGUGAAUGCCUAGGCACUGGAAGCCGAUGAAGGACGUGACAAACGACGAAAUGCUUCGGGGAGCGGUAAGUACGCAGAGAUCCGGAGAUAUCCGAAUGGGGGAACCCGGCACCGUGAGGUGUCACCUUGAAUGUGAAUAGAUAGCAUUAAGGAGGAAGACGCAGUGAACUGAAACAUCUAAGUAGCUGCAGGAAGAGAAAGAAAGAUCGAUUUCCCAAGUAGCGGCGAGCGAACAGGAAAGAGCCCAAACCUAAUGGCUUGCCAUUAGGGGUAGAAGGACUGUAAAAAGCCGAAUGGAAGGAUAGCAGAAUUAUCUGGGAAGAUAAGCCAAAGAGGGUGAGAGCCCCGUAAGCGAAAUCCGGAAAGUAGGUGAGCAGGAUCCUGAGUAGGUCGGGACACGAGGAAUCCCGAUUGAAUCCGCGAGGACCAUCUCGCAAGGCUAAAUACUAACCAGUGACCGAUAGUGAACCAGUACCGUGAGGGAAAGGUGAAAAGAACCCCGGGAGGGGAGUGAAAGAGAACCUGAAACCGUGUGCCUACAAGUAGUCAGAGCACGUUAAAGUGUGAUGGCGUGCCUUUUGUAGAAUGAACCGGCGAGUUGCGUUGUGGUGCAAGGUUAAGUCAGAAAAGACGGAGCCGAAGCGAAAGCGAGUCUGAAGAGGGCGAGAUAGUAUCAUGACGCAGACCCGAAACCAAGUGACCUACCCAUGACCAGGUUGAAGGCGUGGUAAAACACGCUGGAGGACCGAACCCACGCAAGUUGAAAAUUGCGGGGAUGAGUUGUGGGUAGCGGUGAAAUUCCAAACGAACUUGGAGAUAGCUGGUUCUCUCCGAAAUAGCUUUAGGGCUAGCCUCGUGUGAAUGAUAAUGGAGGUAGAGCACUGUUUGGACUAGGGGCCCGUCAGGGGUUACUGAAUCCAGAUAAACUCCGAAUGCCAGAUAUCAAUGCACGGGAGUCAGACUGCGAGUGAUAAGAUCCGUAGUCGAAAGGGAAACAGCCCAGAUCACCGGUUAAGGUCCCAAAAUCUAUGCUAAGUGGAAAAGGAUGUGGAGUUGCACAGACAACUAGGAUGUUGGCUCAGAAGCAGCCACCAUUUAAAGAGUGCGUAAUAGCUCACUAGUCGAGUGACGCUGCGCCGAAAAUUUACCGGGGCUAAGCAUAGUACCGAAACCGUGGAUGCAGGUAACUGCGUGGUAGGAGAGCGUUCUAAAGGCGGAGAAGGCAGAUCGAGAGGACUGUUGGAGCGUUUAGAAGUGAGAAUGCCGGUAUAAGUAGCGAAAGACAGGUGAGAAUCCUGUCCGCCGAAAGACUAAGGUUUCCUGGGGCAGGCUCGUCCGCCCAGGGUAAGUCGGGACCUAAGGUAAGGCCGAGAGGCGUAGCCGAUGGAUAACAGGUAGAUAUUCCUGUACUAUUCGCAAUCGAUAAGAGCGAAGGAGGGACGCAGGAGGCUAAUGACGCAUGGAGAUGGAAUCAUGUGUAAGCGUUAAGGAAGGAUGCGAGUCAAAUGCUUGUAUCCAAUUUUGAGACGUGAUGCGGAGUGAAAUAAAAGUGGAAAAGGAUGUGGAGUUGCACAGACAACUAGGAUGUUGGCUCAGAAGCAGCCACCAUUUAAAGAGUGCGUAAUAGCUCACUAGUCGAGUGACGCUGCGCCGAAAAUUUACCGGGGCUAAGCAUAGUACCGAAACCGUGGAUGCAGGUAACUGCGUGGUAGGAGAGCGUUCUAAAGGCGGAGAAGGCAGAUCGAGAGGACUGUUGGAGCGUUUAGAAGUGAGAAUGCCGGUAUAAGUAGCGAAAGACAGGUGAGAAUCCUGUCCGCCGAAAGACUAAGGUUUCCUGGGGCAGGCUCGUCCGCCCAGGGUAAGUCGGGACCUAAGGUAAGGCCGAGAGGCGUAGCCGAUGGAUAACAGGUAGAUAUUCCUGUACUAUUCGCAAUCGAUAAGAGCGAAGGAGGGACGCAGGAGGCUAAUGACGCAUGGAGAUGGAAUCAUGUGUAAGCGUUAAGGAAGGAUGCGAGUCAAAUGCUUGUAUCCAAUUUUGAGACGUGAUGCGGAGUGAAAUAAAAGUAGCGAAGGUCAUGAAGUCACACUGCCAAGAAAAGCUUCUAGCCAGAGAGCGAGUACCCGUACCGCAAACCGACACAGGUAGUCGAGGAGAGAAUCCUCAGGUGAGCGAGAGAACUCUCGUUAAGGAACUCGGCAAAAUAACCCCGUAACUUAGGGAGAAGGGGUGCUGAAGAGAAAUCAGCCGCAGUGAAGAGGCCCAAACAACUGUUUAUCAAAAACACAGGUAUCUGCAAAAUCGUAAGAUGACGUAUAGGUACUGACACCUGCCCGGUGCUGGAAGGUUAAGAGGAUAGCUUAGCGAAAGCGAAGGUUAGAAUUGAAGCCCCAGUAAACGGCGGCCGUAACUAUAACGGUCCUAAGGUAGCGAAAUUCCUUGUCGGGUAAGUUCCGACCUGCACGAAAGGUGUAAUGAUUUGGGCACUGUCUCAACGAGAGACUCGGUGAAAUUAUAAUACCCGUGAAGAUGCGGGUUACCCGCGACAGGACGGAAAGACCCCAUGGAGCUUUACUGUAGCUUGAUAUUGAGUAUUUGUUAAACAUGUACAGGAUAGGUAGGAGCCAGAGAAGAUAGGACGCCAGUUUUAUCAGAGGCAAUGUUGGGAUACUACCCUUGUUUGAUGGAUCCUCUAACUCGUCACACUAAGCGUGUGAGAGGACAGUGUCAGGUGGGCAGUUUGACUGGGGCGGUCGCCUCCUAAAGAGUAACGGAGGCGCCCAAAGGUUCCCUCAGAAUGGUUGGAAAUCAUUCGCAGAGUGUAAAGGUAGAAGGGAGCUUGACUGCGAGAGAGACAACUCGAGCAGGUACGAAAGUAGGGCUUAGUGAUCUGGUGGUACUGCAUGGAAAGGCCAUCACUCAACGGAUAAAAGCUACCCUGGGGAUAACAGGCUUAUCUCCCCCAAGAGUUCACAUCGACGGGGAGGUUUGGCACCUCGAUGUCGGCUCGUCGCAUCCUGGGGCUGAAGUCGGUCCCAAGGGUUGGGCUGUUCGCCCAUUAAAGCGGCACGCGAGCUGGGUUCAGAACGUCGUGAGACAGUUCGGUCCCUAUCCGUCGUGGGCGUAGGAAAUUUGAGAGGAGCUGUCCUUAGUACGAGAGGACCGGGAUGGACAUACCGCUGGUGUACCAGUUGUCUUGCCAAAGGCACCGCUGGGUAGCUAUGUAUGGAAGGGAUAAGCGCUGAAAGCAUCUAAGUGCGAAGCCCCCCUCAAGAUGAGAUUUCCGAAGCGAAAGCAGUAAGACACCUUAGAGACGAUGAGGUAGAUAGGCCGGGAGUGGAAGAGCAGUGAUGCUUGGAGCGGACCGGUACUAAUAAGUCGAGAACUUGACCAAA